rnacentral:lncRNA from 1 species
GAGUCCCCCGAGGCCCGCCCUCAGUGUGUCUUACUCCAUUUUGAAGUCCCUGCCAUGCGGCAACACCUCAGUCACCUCACCACGGGCAUCAAGGGAAGUAGAAGGGUCCCGUUCCGCCAGCAGGGGGCGGCAGAGUUGCACUCAGGCAAGCCACGCCUUUCUCAUCCUUCAAAGCUCCUGCAGGGGUCAGCCUGACUACGAAGCCUCUCCCUCCCUCCUGCCAGAGCUGGCCUCUCUUGACUGCCUAUUGGCUAAUUCUUCCUGGACACGGUUUCUGGCCGAUGACUACAAAGUUGCAAAGUGUCUGAGAUGCGGCUGGACAGCACCUGUAUUUCCCAAGAUGGCUACACAAAUAAAAGAACCCUGCUGGGAUCCAUGGUCUAGCAGGAAA